AGGCUUUCUCUCAGCCCAAAUGUUAGCUUAGCUGUAAAGAAGACUGCAAUCACGUAGGGCUUUGCGUCCAGGGAGCUCUGAGAACUUUACGCAUCAUUUAUCGUGAGCCUCGUAUUGCAAAAGACCAGUUACCUGAGGUUUGGGCGGAGAGUAGGGGAUGUUUAAGGUAUAUUGACACCAUUAAUCGGGGGGGGGGGAGACACAAAACCUCUGGUGUCGCGGUUUCCUAUCUGAAGCCCUUUUCACAGUCCUUUUAGUAAUGCAAGUUCCUCUAUUUGACUAGCACUAAAGGGCCAAAGAGACAGGUUUAUUUUCUCACCCAAAAGUCCUUCCUGAGGCAGCUGGUCAGAUACACGCAGAAUACACAGCCCUGCUUGAAAAGGAAUGUUCAGAGAACAAAUUGCCUUUUAAAACUAGUGUGCUGGACUGGCCUCUUCCAAAGCUAAAAAAUGACCCAGCCACUGAUAGAAGCCACUCAUUUCACCUGAAGUAAUCUGUUGGUUUCUGUGCUCUGAAGGUGCUGAUUUCAGUGCCUGUGAUGUUACAUCUGUGAGUCAUUGCUGUGCUUGAAACUGAGUGCUCCAAGGAAGUGGAUACCUUUUCUUCUGGUAGGCCACGCAACAUUGAGAUUGCAUCAGCAAAAACAUCCUCUCUGCUAGUCAGCAUCAUAAUUCAGAGAGGCAGCUGGUCAAGUGGGCAAAGAAAACUGAUGGUCAUGAAGGAGCUCGAUUGAACUGUUGCUUUAUCUUUUUAUAUCUCGAUACAACAAUAUGGAGAUAGGUCAUUUUCUUAUAAUACUUGCCACCUGCUUUGCCAUUGUUGUUUUACUUGGCUACCUUCUCCAAGCGAUUAUAGGCUUCAUAAGGACAGUUUUCCUCAUUAUUGUAUCAUCAAUUCAAUAAAAAAAUCUUUAAGAAAUGAAUAGAGGAAGUCAAUGCUGAACAGUCCUCUGGUCAGUGUUAUAGAAAUAAUGAAUUCUCAUCAGGUUAAUAAAAUGUGGGUUGAAUUGCUGAGGAAAUUUUAAUAACCAGUGGUUUCACCUGAAUUUAUAUCACAUGUAAAUGUAAUACUGAAUGUAGUUAUACAUCCUAGAAUAAGAAUAAAUGCUCAGGCCUUGAUAGCUAACUGCUGA